UUGGAUGUUGUGUAGUGCUUUGAAUGUUAGACUAUGGCUCAGGAGACCAGGGUUCAAUUCCCUGCUCGUGCAAG